rnacentral:rRNA from 1 species
UACGGAGGGGGGCUAGCGUUGUUCGGAAUUACUGGGCGUAAAGCGCACGUAGGCGGCUUUGUAAGUUAGAGGUGAAAUCCUGGAGCUCAACUCCAGAACUGCCUUCGAUACUGAAGAGCUCGAGUCCGGGAGAGGUGAGUGGAACUGCGAGUGUAGAGGUGAAAAUUCGUAGAUAUUCGCAAGAACACCAGUGGCGAAAGGCGGCUCACUGGCCCGAUACUGACGCUGAGGCACGAAAGCGUGGGGAAGCAAACAGG